rnacentral:rRNA from 1 species
GAGUUUGAUCGUGGCUCAGGAUGAACGCUGGCGGCGUGCCUAAUACAUGCAAGUCGAGCGAACGGACGAGAAGCUUGCUUCUCUGAUGUUAGCGGCGGACGGGUGAGUAACACGUGGGUAACCUACCUAUAAGACUGGGAUAACUCCGGGAAACCGGGGCUAAUACCGGAUAACACAUGAAACCGCAUGGUUUCAUGAUGAAAGACGGUCUUGCUGUCACUUAUAGAUGGAUCCGCGCUGCAUUAGCUAGUUGGUAAGGUAACGGCUUACCAAGGCAACGAUGCAUAGCCGACCUGAGAGGGUGAUCGGCCACACUGGAACUGAGACACGGUCCAGACUCCUACGGGAGGCAGCAGUAGGGCAUCUUCCGCAAUGGGCGAAAGCCUGACGGAGCAACGCCGCGUGAGUGAUGAAGGUCUUCGGAUCGUAAAACUCUGUUAUUAGGGAAGAACAUAUGUGUAAGUAACUGUGCACAUCUUGACGGUACCUAAUCAGAAAGCCACGGCU